rnacentral:rRNA from 1 species
GACGAACGCUGGCGGCGUGCUUAACACAUGCAAGUCGAGCGGUAAGGCCCUUUCGGGGGUACACGAGCGGCGAACGGGUGAGUAACACGUGGGUGACCUGCCCUCAGCUCUGGGAUAAGCCUGGGAAACUGGGUCUAAUACUGGAUAUGACUCCACGGUGCAUGUCGUGGGGUGGAAAGCCUUGUGCGGCUGAGGAUGGGCCCGCGGCCUAUCAGCUUGUUGGNGGGGUGAUGGCCUACCAAGGCGACGACGGGUAGCCGGCCUGAGAGGGCGACCGGCCACACUGGGACUGAGACACGGCCCAGACUCCUACGGGAGGCAGCAGUGGGGAAUCUUGCGCAAUGGGCGAAAGCCUGACGCAGCGACGCCGCGUGAGGGAUGACGGCCU